CAAGGAAUAUUGGGCAAUGGGCGAAAGCCUGACCCAGCGACACCGCGUGAGGGAAGAAGGCCUUCGGGUUGUAAACCUCUUUUAUCAGGGAAGAAUAAUGACGGUACCUGAUGAAUAAGCUUCGGCUAACUACGUGCCAGCAGCCGCGGUAAUACGUAGGAAGCAAGCGUUAUCCGGAUUUACUGGGCGUAAAGCGGGUGUAGGCGGCCUGUCAAGUCCGGUGUGAAAUCUCCCGGCUUAACUGGGAGGGUGCACUGGAGACUGAUGGGCUGGAGUGCAGCAGAGGAAAGCGGAAUUCCCGGUGUAGUGGUGAAAUGCGUAGAUAUCGGGAAGAACACUAGUGGCGAAGGCGGCUUUCUGGGCUGUAACUGACGCUGAGACCCGAAGGCGUGGGUAGCAAACAG
rnacentral:rRNA from 1 species